rnacentral:rRNA from 1 species
AGAGUUUGAUCCUGGCUCAGGACGAACGCUGGCGGCGUGCUUAACACAUGCAAGUCGAACGAUGAUGCCAGCUUGCUGGUGGAUUAGUGGCGAACGGGUGAGUAACACGUGAGUAACCUGCCCUUAACUCUGGGAUAAGCCUGGGAAACUGGGUCUAAUACCGGAUAUGACUCCUCAUCGCAUGGUGGGGGGUGGAAAGCUUUUUGUGGUUUUGGAUGGACUCGCGGCCUAUCAGCUUGUUGGUGAGGUAAUGGCUCACCAAGGCGACGACGGGUAGCCGGCCUGAGAGGGUGACCGGCCACACUGGGACUGAGACACGGCCCAGACUCCUACGGGAGGCAGCAGUGGGGAAUAUUGCACAAUGGGCGCAAGCCUGAUGCAGCGACGCCGCGUGAGGGAUGACGGCCUUCGGGUUGUAAACCUCUUUCAGUAGGGAAGAAGCGAAAGUGACGGUACCUGCAGAAGAAGCGCCGGCUAACUACGUGCCAGCAGCCGCGGUAAUACGUAGGGCGCAAGCGUUAUCCGGAAUUAUUGGGCGUAAAGAGCUCGUAGGCGGUUUGUCGCGUCUGCCGUGAAAGUCCGGGGCUCAACUCCGGAUCUGCGGUGGGUACGGGCAGACUAGAGUGAUGUAGGGGAGACUGGAAUUCCUGGUGUAGCGGUGAAAUGCGCAGAUAUCAGGAGGAACACCGAUGGCGAAGGCAGGUCUCUGGGCAUUAACUGACGCUGAGGAGCGAAAGCAUGGGGAGCGAACAGGAUUAGAUACCCUGGUAGUCCAUGCCGUAAACGUUGGGCACUAGGUGUGGGGGACAUUCCACGUUUUCCGCGCCGUAGCUAACGCAUAAGUUCCCCGCCUGGGGAGUACGGCCGCAAGGCUAAAACUCAAAGGAAUUGACGG